rnacentral:rRNA from 1 species
UGGGGAAUAUUGGACAAUGGGCGAAAGCCUGAUCCAGCCAUGCCGCGUGUGUGAAGAAGGUCUUCGGAUUGUAAAGCACUUUAAGUUGGGAGGAAGGGCAGUAAGUUAAUACCUUGCUGUUUUGACGUUACCGACAGAAUAAGCACCGGCUAACUCUGUGCCAGCAGCCGCGGUAAUACAGAGGGUGCAAGCGUUAAUCGGAAUUACUGGGCGUAAAGCGCGCGAAGGUGGUUUGUUAAGUUGGAUGUGAAAGCCCCGGGCUCAACCUGGGAACUGCAUCCAAAACUGGCAAGCUAGAGUACGGUAGAGGGUGGUGGAAUUUCCUGUGUAGCGGUGAAAUGCGUAGAUAUAGGAAGGAACACCAGUGGCGAAGGCGACCACCUGGACUGAUACUGACACUGAGGUGCGAAAGCGUGGGGAGCAAACA